GCGAUGUAGCUCAGCGGGAGAGCCCCAGUCUUACACACUGGUUGUCGUAGGUUCAAAUCCUACCGUCGUC
rnacentral:tRNA from 1 species